rnacentral:rRNA from 1 species
UUAAAAAGCUCGUAGUUGGAUUUCUGGUACGUCAGUGCUGACCCUGUUCCAUUAUGGAUAUGUGUGUCGGUCUUUGACUACCAUCCUUCCAGAGAACUCGUUCUAUCCCUUCACUGGGCCGGGACAGCGAUCUGGAACUUUUACUCUGAAAAAAUUAGAGUGCUCAAAGCAGGCUUGCGCUAUGAAUACAUUAGCAUGGAAUAAUAACCUAGGACUCCGGUUCUAUUUUAUUGGUUUCUAGAACUGGUUUAAUGAUUGAUAGGGAUAGUUGGGGGUGCUAGUAUUCAGCGGCCAGAGGUGAAAUUCUUGGAUUCGCUGAAGACUAACUUAUGCGAAAGCAUUCACCAAGGAUGUCUUCUUUAAUCAAGAACGAAAGUUGGGGGAUCGAAGACGAUCAGAUACCGUCGUAGUCUCAACCAUAAACUAUACCGACUAAGGAUGAGUGAACGUUGCAUAUUCGACUUCAUUCGCACUUUAUGAGAAAUCAAAGUCUUUAGGUUCUGGGGGGAGUAUGGUCGCAAGGCUGAAACUUAAAGGAAUUGACGGAGGGCACCACCAGGAGUGGA